rnacentral:rRNA from 1 species
GUAGGGAAUAUUGCGCAAUGGGGGAAACCCUGACGCAGCGACGCCGCGUGAGUGAUGAAGGCCUUCGGGUCGUAACGCUCUGUUGCAGGGGAAUAAAAAAAUGAAGGUACCCUGUGAGGAAGGAUCGGCUAACUUCGUGCCAGCAGCCGCGGUAAGACGAGGGAUCCUAGCGUUGCUCGGAAUCAUUGGGCGUAAAGAGGGCGUAGGUGGCUUGGUAAGUCAGGUGUGAAAGCCCAGGGCUCAACCCUGGAAGUGCAUUUGAUACUGCUGAGCUUGAGUGUCGGAGAGGUUACCGGAAUACCUGGUGUAGUGGUGAAAUACGUAGAUAUCAGGUGGAACACCGGAGGCGAAGGCGGGUAACUGGACGAACACUGACACUGAGGCCCGAAAGCGUGGGGAUCAAACAGGAUUAGAAACCCGGGUAGUCC